GACUAUAUGAUCUAAUGGUUAUGAUAUUACUACUUCACAGUAAUUAUGUGGGUUCGAUUCCCACUGUAGUUA
rnacentral:tRNA from 1 species